rnacentral:rRNA from 1 species
UAGGGAAUCUUCCGCAAUGGACGCAAGUCUGACGGAGCAACGCCGCGCGAGUGAAGAAGGAUUUCGGUUCGUAAAACUCUGUUGUUAGAGAAGAACAGCGCAUAGAGUAACUGUUAUGCGUGUGACGGUAUCUAACCAGAAAGCCACGGCUAACUACGUGCCAGCAGCCGCGGUAAUACGUAGGUGGCAAGCGUUGUCCGGAUUUAUUGGGCGUAAAGCGAGCGCAGGCGGUAAAUUAAGUCGGAUGUGAAAGCCCCCGGCUCAACCGGGAAGGGUUGUUGGAAACUGGUUUUCUUGAGUGCAGAAGAGGAGAGUGAAAUUCCAUGUGUAGCGGUGAUAUGCGUAGGUAUAUGGAGGAACACCAGUGGCGAAGUCUACUCUCUGGUCUGUAACUGACGCUGAGGCUCGAAAGCGUGGGUAGCAAACAGG